GAUGCCAGGGUCAAAAGGUCUAAAUCCACAUGAGCUUGCUCAUAGGUGGAUGAAAGACCUUGGGACCCACCCCGAUAUGAGCAUAAAAGUGGGAUGAUAAUCCCACGAUAUGCGAAUACUGGGGUGCUAUGUGCCAGUGGCACAUGUUUAGCACCGACCGAAGCGGAGCGUAAAAAGGAUUGUGGGAGGCAACGCACGGAACAAUCCGUAGGCAUC
rnacentral:sRNA from 1 species